rnacentral:rRNA from 1 species
GGGUUGUGAGGUUAAGCGACUAAGCGUACACGGUGGAUGCCCUGGCAGUCAGAGGCGAUGAAGGACGUGCUAAUCUGCGAUAAGCGCCGGUAAGGUGAUAUGAACCGUUAUAACCGGCGAUUUCCGAAUGGGGAAACCCAGUGUGAUUCGUCACACUAUCAUUAACUGAAUCCAUAGGUUAAUGAGGCGAACCGGGGGAACUGAAACAUCUAAGUACCCCGAGGAAAAGAAAUCAACCGAGAUUCCCCCAGUAGCGGCGAGCGAACGGGGAGGAGCCCAGAGCCUGAAUCAGCAUGUGUGUUAGUGGAAGCGUCUGGAAAGGCGCGCGAUACAGGGUGACAGCCCCGUACACAAAAGCGCAUGUGCUGUGAGCUCGAUGAGUAGGGCGGGACACGUGGUAUCCUGUCUGAAUAUGGGGGGACCAUCCUCCAAGGCUAAAUACUCCUGACUGACCGAUAGUGAACCAGUACCGUGAGGGAAAGGCGAAAAGAACCCCGGCGAGGGGAGUGAAAAAGAACCUGAAACCGUGUACGUACAAGCAGUGGGAGCACCCUUUGGGGUGUGACUGCGUACCUUUUGUAUAAUGGGUCAGCGACUUAUAUUCUGUAGCAAGGUUAACCGUAUAGGGGAGCCGGAGGGAAACCGAGUCUUAAUUGGGCGUUAAGUUGCAGGGUAUAGACCCGAAACCCGGUGAUCUAGCCAUGGGCAGGUUGAAGGUUGGGUAACACUAACUGGAGGACCGAACCGACUAAUGUUGAAAAAUUAGCGGAUGACCUGUGGCUGGGGGUGAAAGGCCAAUCAAACCGGGAGAUAGCUGGUUCUCCCCGAAAGCUAUUUAGGUAGCGCCUCGUGAAUUCAUCUCCGGGGGUAGAGCACUGUUUCGGCUAGGGGGCCAUCCCGGCUUACCAACCCGAUGCAAACUGCGAAUACCGGAGAAUGUUAUCACGGGAGACACACGGCGGGUGCUAACGUCCGUCGUGAAGAGGGAAACAACCCAGACCGCCAGCUAAGGUCCCAAAGUCAUGGUUAAGUGGGAAACGAUGUGGGAAGGCCCAGACAGCCAGGAUGUUGGCUUAGAAGCAGCCAUCAUUUAAAGAAAGCGUAAUAGCUCACUGGUCGAGUCGGCCUGCGCGGAAGAUGUAACGGGGCUAAACCAUGCACCGAAGCUGCGGCAGCGACACUGUGUGUUGUUGGGUAGGGGAGCGUUCUGUAAGCCUGUGAAGGUGGCCUGUGAGGGUUGCUGGAGGUAUCAGAAGUGCGAAUGCUGACAUAAGUAACGAUAAAGCGGGUGAAAAGCCCGCUCGCCGGAAGACCAAGGGUUCCUGUCCAACGUUAAUCGGGGCAGGGUGAGUCGACCCCUAAGGCGAGGCCGAAAGGCGUAGUCGAUGGGAAACGGGUUAAUAUUCCCGUACUUGGUGUUACUGCGAAGGGGGGACGGAGAAGGCUAUGUUGGCCGGGCGACGGUUGUCCCGGUUUAAGCGUGUAGGCUGGUUUUCCAGGCAAAUCCGGAAAAUCAAGGCUGAGGCGUGACGACGAGGCACUACGGUGCUGAAGCAACAAAUGCCCUGCUUCCAGGAAAAGCCUCUAAGCAUCAGGUAACAUCAAAUCGUACCCCAAACCGACACAGGUGGUCAGGUAGAGAAUACCAAGGCGCUUGAGAGAACUCGGGUGAAGGAACUAGGCAAAAUGGUGCCGUAACUUCGGGAGAAGGCACGCUGACACGUAGGUGAAGUGAUUUACUCAUGGAGCUGAAGUCAGUCGAAGAUACCAGCUGGCUGCAACUGUUUAUUAAAAACACAGCACUGUGCAAACACGAAAGUGGACGUAUACGGUGUGACGCCUGCCCGGUGCCGGAAGGUUAAUUGAUGGGGUCAGCGCAAGCGAAGCUCCUGAUCGAAGCCCCGGUAAACGGCGGCCGUAACUAUAACGGUCCUAAGGUAGCGAAAUUCCUUGUCGGGUAAGUUCCGACCUGCACGAAUGGCGUAAUGAUGGCCAGGCUGUCUCCACCCGAGACUCAGUGAAAUUGAACUCGCUGUGAAGAUGCAGUGUACCCGCGGCAAGACGGAAAGACCCCGUGAACCUUUACUAUAGCUUGACACUGAACAUUGAGCCUUGAUGUGUAGGAUAGGUGGGAGGCUUUGAAGUGUGGACGCCAGUCUGCAUGGAGCCGACCUUGAAAUACCACCCUUUAAUGUUUGAUGUUCUAACGUGGACCCGUAAUCCGGGUUGCGGACAGUGUCUGGUGGGUAGUUUGACUGGGGCGGUCUCCUCCUAAAGAGUAACGGAGGAGCACGAAGGUUGGCUAAUCCUGGUCGGACAUCAGGAGGUUAGUGCAAUGGCAUAAGCCAGCUUGACUGCGAGCGUGACGGCGCGAGCAGGUGCGAAAGCAGGUCAUAGUGAUCCGGUGGUUCUGAAUGGAAGGGCCAUCGCUCAACGGAUAAAAGGUACUCCGGGGAUAACAGGCUGAUACCGCCCAAGAGUUCAUAUCGACGGCGGUGUUUGGCACCUCGAUGUCGGCUCAUCACAUCCUGGGGCUGAAGUAGGUCCCAAGGGUAUGGCUGUUCGCCAUUUAAAGUGGUACGCGAGCUGGGUUUAGAACGUCGUGAGACAGUUCGGUCCCUAUCUGCCGUGGGCGCUGGAGAACUGAGGGGGGCUGCUCCUAGUACGAGAGGACCGGAGUGGACGCAUCACUGGUGUUCGGGUUGUCAUGCCAAUGGCACUGCCCGGUAGCUAAAUGCGGAAGAGAUAAGUGCUGAAAGCAUCUAAGCACGAAACUUGCCCCGAGAUGAGUUCUCCCUGAGACUUAGAGUCUCCUGAAGGAACGUUGAAGACGACGACGUUGAUAGGCCGGGUGUGUAAGCGCAGCGAUGCGUUGAGCUAACCGGUACUAAUGAACCGUGAGGCUUAACCUUACAACGCCGAAG